AGACUUCAUCACAGCAGGAGCCGUGAGGCAAGAAGCUCUGGGAUCAAUUAAAAUGCCAGGCUUUUCCAGGCUGGUUUCCAGCGCAUCUGUGCAUGAUUCCACAUAAAUUUAGGGAAUUAGAGAUCAGACAAAGUUAUAAGACAGCUGUUGAUGUCCCACUCACCAGUUAGGAGGAUUGAGAAGAAGCUGCUUUCCAGGAAAUCCCAGUCGACUUCCAGAUAGAUCUCUUUGGUCAAAAAUGUGUCACAGCUCCAACUCUUUUUUUGUAAGAUGGUGAACACAGGCAGGGGCCACAUCUGACUUACCUCUAGCUCCAGGUACUAAAGAGCCACUGGGGAGAGCUCAGUCAUGUAAUCCAAUACUAUCUAAUCUCAGGUAUAUCUUUAUCAGCAGCAUGAAAACAGACUAAUACAAACUCCCUUCUAAUGAUUGGAAUACCACAGAUGUGAUAUGAUGUCACUUCUGAGAUUAGCCUAUGAAAGGACUGUGUCUUCUAUCUCUUGGAUUGCUCACUCUGGAGAAGCCAGCCAUCAUGCUGAAGGUCCAUGUGACAAGGGACAGAGGCCUGACAAAAUCCAUGUGAGUGAGCCUGCAAGAGGGUCCUCUGCAAGAUAAUCCUUCAGAUGACACCACAGACGUAGUUGACAACUGGACUGCAAUCUAAUAAAACACCUUGAGACAGAGGCACUCAGCUAAACCUAACCCUGAUUCCUGACACAUGGAAGCUGCAAAACAUGAACUACGGAGUCCCCAUCCAAGGCACUGAAUGAGAACAUCUGGAACACUCAAUAAAUAUUUCAUCAACAAAUAAAUGAGGGCUUUAAUUU
ensembl:lncRNA LINC01495 long intergenic non-protein coding RNA 1495